UACGUAGGGUGCGAGCGUUGUCCGGAAUUAUUGGGCGUAAAGAGCUCGUAGGCGGUUUGUCGCGUCGACUGUGAAAACUGGGGGCUUAACUCUCAGCUUGCAGUUGAUACGGGCAGACUUGAGUUCGGCAGGGGAGACUGGAAUUCCUGGUGUAGCGGUGAAAUGCGCAGAUAUCAGGAGGAACACCGGUGGCGAAGGCGGGUCUCUGGGCCGAUACUGACGCUGAGGAGCGAAAGCGUGGGGAGCAAACAGG
rnacentral:rRNA from 1 species